GCGGAAGGCAGCAGUGGGGAAUAUUGCACAAUGGGCGAAAGCCUGAUGCAGCGACGCCGCGUGAGCGAAGAAGUAUUUCGGUAUGUAAAGCUCUAUCAGCAGGGAAGAUAAUGACGGUACCUGACUAAGAAGCACCGGCUAAAUACGUGCCAGCAGCCGCGGUAAUACGUAUGGUGCAAGCGUUAUCCGGAUUUACUGGGUGUAAAGGGAGCGUAGGCGGUUUUACAAGUCUGAUGUGAAAGCCCGGGGCUCAACUCCGGUAUUGCAUUGGAAACUGUAGAACUAGAGUGUCGGAGGGGUAAGUGGAAUUCCUAGUGUAGCGGUGAAAUGCGUAGAUAUUAGGAGGAACACCAGUGGCGAAGGCGGCUUACUGGACGAUUACUGACGCUGAGGCUCGAAAGCGUGGGGAGCAAACAGGAUUAGAUACCCUGGUA
rnacentral:rRNA from 1 species